rnacentral:rRNA from 1 species
AACGAACGCUGGCGGCAUGCCUAACACAUGCAAGUCGAACGGGAUCCUGGCUUCGGCCAGGUGAGAGUGGCGGACGGGUGAGUAACGCGUGGGAACCUGCCCAUUGGUCUGGGAUAACUGCGGGAAACUGCAGCUAAUACCGGAUGUACCCGAGAGGGGAAAGAUUUAUCGCCGAUGGAGGGGCCCGCGUCAGAUUAGGUAGUUGGUGAGGUAACGGCUCGCCAAGCCUACGAUCUGUAGCUGGUCUGAGAGGAUGAUCAGCCACACUGGGACUGAGAUACGGCCCAGACUCCUACGGGAGGCAGCAGUGGGGGAAUAUUGGACAAUGGGGGGCAACCCUGAUCCAGCAAUGCCGCGUGAGUGAUGAAGGCCUUAGGGUUGUAAAGCUCUUUUACCAGGGACGAUGAUGACGGUACCUGGAGAAUAAGCCCCGGCUAACUUCGUGCCAGCAGCCGCGGUAAU